GAUGAACGCUAGCGGCAGGCCUAACACACGCAAGUCGAGGGGUAACAUAGAAAAGCUUGCUUUUCUGAUGACGACCGGCGCACGGGUGCGUAACGCGUAUACAACCUACCUUUUAGCGGGGAAUAGCCCAGGGAAACUUGGAUUAAUGCCCCAUAGUAUAUAGACUUCUCCUGAAGUUUAUAUUAAACAUUUAUGGCUAUUAGAUGGGUAUGCGUCCUAUUAGUUAGUUGGUAAGGUAACGGCUUACCAAGGCAGCGAUAGGUAGGGGUCCUGAGAGGGAGAUCCCCACACUGGUACUGAGACACGGACCAGACUCCUACGGGAGGCAGCAGUGAGGAAUAUUGGACAAUGGGCGAGAGCCUGAUCCAGCCAUGCCGCGUGCAGGAAGACUGCCCUAUGGGUUGUAAACUGCUUUUACAGAGGACGAACCACCCCCACGUGUGGGGGUUUGACGGUACUCUGCGAAUAAGGAUCGGCUAACUCCGUG
rnacentral:rRNA from 1 species